AAGAAAACUCUACCUGGGCUAAAGAAAUCUACCAGUGAGGAAACAACUCCCGGCUGCUGCCAGACCACAGGCCACGUGAGGAGGAGCCUCCCUAGAGGACUUCCAAAGCAAACCCACCCCCGCCAGACCAGGAAGAGCUUCCUACCUCCCAGAGAAACAGACCUCAGCCC